GUUCAUCAGAAGAGAAAGGGUACUAAAAUGGGAACAAUACAGAGAAUACAGGCCCCUGAACAAGGAUGACAUGCAAAAUCAUAAAGUGGUCCACAUUAAA
rnacentral:snRNA from 1 species